rnacentral:rRNA from 1 species
AGCGAACGCUGGCGGCAGGCUUAACACAUGCAAGUCGAGCGGGCAUCCUUGUGGUGUCAGCGGCAGACGGGUGAGUAACGCGUGGGAACGUGCCCUUCGGCUCGGAAUAACCCAGGGAAACUUGAGCUAAUACCGGAUAUGUGCGAGAGCAGAAAGGCUUAUCUGCCGAUGGAUCGGCCCGCGUCUGAUUAGCUAGUUGGUGAGGUUACGGCUCACCAAGGCGACGAUCAGUAGCUGGUCUGCGAGGAUGAGCCGCGACACUGGGACUGAGACACGGCCCAGACUCGUACGGGAGGCAGCAGUGGGGAAUAUUAGACAAUGGGGGCAACCCCAGUCCAGCCGUGCCGCGUAAGUGAUGACGGCCUUAGGGUUGUACAGCUCUUUUCUCCGGGACGUUAGUGACGGUACCGGAUAAAUAAGCCCCGGCUAACUUCGUG